GUGCUCACUUCGGGAGCAGAUAUACUCCAAUUGCAGUGAUAAGAGAUUAGCAUGACCUCUGUGCAAGGAUGACAUACAAAUUCGAGAAGCGGUCUGUAUUUAA
ensembl:snRNA U6 U6 spliceosomal RNA